AUACGUAGGGGGCGAGCGUUGUCCGGAAUUACUGAGCGUAAAGCGCGCGCAGGCGGCUUUUUAAGUCAGGUGUCAAACUGCGGGGCUCAACCCCGUAUCGCACUUGAAACUGGCAGGCUUGAGUGCAGGAGAGGGAAGUGGAAUUCCUAGUGUAGCGGUGAAAUGCGUAGAUAUUAGGAGGAACACCAGUGGCGAAGGCGACUUCCUGGACUGUAACUGACGCUCAGGCGCGAAAGCUAGGGGAGCAAACAGGAUUAGAUACCCUGGUAGUCCUAGCCGUAAACGAUGGGUACUAGGUGUUGGGGGUGACAAUCCCCCAGUGCCGCAGUUAACGCAUUAAGUACCCCGCCUGGGGACUACGGCCGCAAGGCUGAA
rnacentral:rRNA from 1 species